UACAGAGGGGGCAAGCGUUAUUCGGAAUUAUUGGGCGUAAAGGGCGCGUAGGCGGCUUUGCAAGUGGCGGGUGAAAUCCCUCGGCUUAACCGAGGAACUGCCUGCCAGACUGCAUGGCUUGAGACCAGGAGAGGUGAGUGGAAUUCCCAGUGUAGCGGUGAAAUGCGUAGAUAUUGGGAGGAACACCUGCGGCGAAGGCGGGUUGCUGGGCCGACACUGACGCUGAUGCGCGAAAGCCAGGGGAGCGAACGGG
rnacentral:rRNA from 1 species